rnacentral:rRNA from 1 species
CCUACGGGAGGCAGCAGUGAGGAAUAUUGGUCAAUGGACGAGAGUCUGAACCAGCCAAGUAGCGUGAAGGAUGACUGCCCUAUGGGUUGUACCCUUCUUUUAUAUGGGAAUAAAAUGUUCCACGUGUGGGAUUUUGUAUGUCCCAUAUGAAUAAGGAUCGGCUAACUCCGUGCCAGCAGCAGCGGUAAUACGGAGGAUCCGAGCGUUAUCCGGAUUUAUUGGGUUUAAAGGGAGCGUAGGUGGAUUGUUAAGUCAGUUGUGAAAGUUUGCGGCUCAACCGUAAAAUUGCAGUUGAAACUGGCAGUCGUGAGUACAGUAGAGGUGAGCGGAAGUCGUGGUGUAGCGGUGAAAUGCUUAGAUAUCACGAAGAACUCCGAUUGCGAAGGCAGUUCACUGGACUGCAACUGACACUGAGGCUCGAAAGUGUGGGUAUCAAACAGGAUUAGAUACCCUAGUAGUC